CAGAGCAAGGCUGUCUUCAGGUGACUCUGAUCUUUGAUGAGAUAUGGUGAGAACACUUGAGUUUAGUGGCCUGUGAGUCCAUCCUGGCAGUACUUUACUGUUUCUGCAUAUUUUGGGCAGAAUUUAGAAGAAGUCAGGAGCCCACUUACUUUAAAACAAUAUCAGCUUGCACUUUAGAAGGCAAAGACAUGCAAAAGACAAGAAUUUCUGACUUACUACUUAGAUCUGUUACCAACCACAUUCUACAACUUUUAGUAAAUUACUUGAAAUGGGUGGAAUUAAUUACUUUAUGUAUUCUUAAAUUUCUUUCUAUAAAAAGCAUGAAUAUAUGAAUAUUUCCACUUUUUCUUACAGUUUCAAUCUGAAAAAAUUUGCAAACCAUUCUGACUAGUAAAUCAAUACCAACUUCCCCAAAGAGAGACAAGUGAAGCAGCUAGAGAUUAUCCUAGGGGAGGUAGAGAAGACAGAAGAUCUUGCUUCAAUGUGAUGGAAAAAUAAGCUAGAGAAGUACUUAAAGCUGCUUUCUGAAGGCUGUUAAAAUGAAUACAUUCUGGGAUUGAAGAUUUGGGUAUGCACAAGAGAAGAGCAUGUAUCAUACAGUUCUCAUCUAUCCUCCAUGGUCUGGUCCUUGUGGGUUCCUCAUGUGAAGGGAAUGUACGUCUUUCUACCACUCCUAAGUGGCACUUUGGGUGACAAUAAAUGGAAGAGAACCUUAAUUGUGCAUGUGGCUGUACUAAAACUGAACCCUUGUUUUGACAAAAAAAUUGUAGGGUUUGUCUCUAAGCCACUCAGCUAAAGUGCAGUUUUGUUAACAUGGUGUCUUCUUUUGUUUUAUUUUUAUUCAUUUACCCCUAUGUUCUUUGUAUCCUCCUAUGAAGAAAUAUUUGUAAAUGC